GUCCCUUCGUCUAGAGGUUCGUGACACCGCCCUUUCACGGCGGUAACAGGGGUUCGAAUCCCCUAGGGGACGCCA
rnacentral:tRNA from 1 species